AGAUUGAACGCUGGCGGAAUGCUUUACACAUGCAAGUCGAGCGGCAGCGCGGGGCAACCUGGCGGCGAGCGGCGAACGGGUGAGUAAUGCAUCGGAACAUGUCCAUGUCGUGGGGGAUAGCCCGGCGAAAGCCGGAUUAAUACCGCAUACGCCCGAGAGGGGAAAGCCGGGGACCGCAAGGCCUGGCGCGAUUGGGUUGGCCGAUGUCCGAUUAGCUAGUUGGCGGGUAAUGGCCCACCAAGGCGAUGAUCGGUAGCUGGUCUGAGAGGAUGAUCAGCCACACUGGGACUGAGACACGCCCAGACCUCCUACGGGAGCAGCAGUGGGUAAUUUUGGACGAAGUGGGGACAACCGUGACUCCGACGCC
rnacentral:rRNA from 1 species